UUUAUCUUCUCAAUGCAGAUCCUUUCCUUGCCUCUCCCUCUACAUAGCAACAUGAUUUCUUCCCUCUCCAUAAGACCUCCUUCUUUCUUUCCUAUCCACGGCAGCAAGGGUUCUUCCCUCUCCAUAGCACCACCUUCUUUCUUUCCUCUCAAUAGCAGUAAGGUUUCUUCCCUCUCUACAGCAAGCAAGGAAGAGGGAAGCCCGAGAUAUCAAGUUCCUCCUCCCGAUUCUGUACUUUUAAGGUUUAGAUUCACUUCGGACUUCCUAGACCACGCGGAAGUCGCCGAUCUGACAACGGGGAAUGACGGGGAGCAAGCAGUCGGUGUCAUUUAAAUCAACAAAAUACAUUUCACGACGACGACAGCGUCGAAGACUAUUUACAGAGGCGACGAAGUCUUCGAUUGUGGCUCGCUCUACUAAACUGGGAUUCGUAGACUACUGGUGGAAGCCACUGGUUUAAAUCAAGUACCACUUGCCCACCUCUGUAAUCGCAGCGUUGCGGAUCAUGGAUCUGUAAAAAGGCUCGCUCUACUAAAUUGGUAGUUAAUUACUUUCUAGCAUUUCGAGUUUGAAAUCGUCGUCUCUAACCAAUUCGAUCCUGCAACGCCAUCAACUCGUCAACCAGGUUGGUUUCCUACCCAUGGUUUCUGGCAUCUCCUAUCCUAGGGCAUCUCCUUCCCUAUAGUUAGCAUCCCAUAUUAUCCAUAAAUUUGAGAUCGCCAUCCUCUCUUAAUUUUGAGGAGGGUGUGGAACAAUUAUUAUCCUUUUCAUUUCUUUUCUUUUGCUUGUUUCAUUCUAUUACCUUACAUGCUAAAAAUUCUUUUUUUUUGAAAAAAAAAUCUAUAUAAUUCCAUCUGCUGUAUAAACAUGUCUUCUUGGGCAGAAUCUUGAUGGACAGGUUUUCUGUUAAACAAUAAAUGGUAUCGAGGAGGUUGCUUACAACACCUUUUAUAUCUUAUCACAUCCAUCCAAUUACAUAUCAAGUUAUGGUUGACUAUACAGUAGUAUCCUUUUCUUAUGGAAUACAGAUUGUUGUUUAGUUGGCCUAUACUGUAGUUCAAAUUGGAGAGAUACAGUUUAGUAGUUUAAGUUGGAUGCCUUUCUGUGCAUUAUAUGUGAUUUCCUUACAAUUUUCUUGUCUUGGAUUUUUAUUUCAUUAUCUGUUUUAUUUUUAUUCUUUGAAAAAAAGGGGCUUAGGUCCAAAAUUUCAAUUCGGUGGGAGAAAUGAUGUACAAAGUGAAGAACUACAAACUUUAGUUUUCUUAGAAAGAUCAAAAGAAGAGAAGAUGAAUCUAUAACUUUGAGAAGUUACAGGAAAGAAAAUACUAUAGGGAAAGAUAGAUGUGGUUGUUGACUAUAGGACUUUAUCAAGUCUAUCUGCUGGAAACUUCAUUUUACAAAACCAGUUGGCUUCACACUCUCACUGGUGCAAAACUUUGGGACAUCACAAAAAGAUUGCAGCCACGUUGGCCCAAAUUUUAUUUCGAAUUUGGGCACUAAUCUAGUGAUAAAAAAAACCUUUAUCAAAUCUGAUCAUGCACACAACCCAUUUUAAACUUGGGCAGUUGUUGCAUUCUUCAAAUAAUGAUGAAUGGAUUUCAACAAUUUGCUAAAUGGGUUCUUGGAACUCUUCUCUUAUCAAGUAGUUUCUUGUUGGUGCAUUGGAACUCUUCUCUUAUCAAGUAGUUUCUUAUCAAAUAAUUAAUAUCUAGGACUACAUUGGAUAUAUAAUACUCCCUCUGCUGGAGCAUAGAUAACAAUCAAUGUGAUUCACUUAUUAUUUCUAGCAUCCAUGACUACCCACUGAGGAUUUUAUUUAGAAAUUCAUGUUCAAGUUUAUAAGCUAACUUGUUUUAAAGGAUUUCAUCUUAUUGAUUUUCGGUCAGGAAUGAUCUAAUGUGAUGUUGAACUGCAAUUGCUAGAAAAUAACAUAAGUAUAGUGCUGAGUUUUUCCCCUUUAUAGCAACGAAACAACAAUUCUAAUUUGGUCAAGACUUACAUUUUGCAUAUUUUAGAUAAUUAAUUUACUACUCAAUGUUGCAAGUAAUGAAUUUACUAUGUUGAAUAACUGGUUCUAACAUCUCUUCAAUUAUACUGUUGGAUAACUUCAGGCAUAUUCUACUGUUGGUACACCAGACUAUAUUGCUCCAGAGGUUCUACUUAAGAAGGGUUAUGGAAUGGAGUGUGAUUGUGGGGUCAAAUUAUACAAUGCAUCAAGGGGUAUUUCAAAAGGACCUGAUUUUAAACAAUUGACGGGUAAUCUAAAAUAAAAAGGUGGUGUUGAAUGUGGAUAUUGUGAAAUGUGGUACAUGAAAGAGAUAGUUUUGGAUGAAUAUCCCCAAUUGGAGAUGAAGUUUGCAACAUCAAAAAACAAACAAUAUUACAAUCAAUCUCAGUAUGAUGAAGUCAGAAGUGCAUGGAGCAAAUUCGUUUACUUCUAUAUAGGUGCUUAAGUGUAGGUUGUGAUAUAAAUUUUGGAUUGUAUUUAAAGAUUUAUAUAUACAAAAACUUUUGGGUUACAGUUAAACAUGUCUUUUAUAAAUACACUUUUGGAUUGUAUUUGAUACAUAUUUAUGAUAUAUUUAUUCAAUUUUGAUUGUGAAAAA